UUUUACUGAUUAAUGACGUAAAAAUGGCCCUGAAGUCUCCGUGUUCGUCAACGUCGUCGGUCAGCUCUGACUUGGAAGGUGGACAGGGUUUGCCACAGCGUAUUACAGAGUCCACCCCACAACCCUCUCCCACAGCCCUCCCCCCACCGAAAGCAGUAUCCACAGAACAGGUGGAAAUAUCUCCUGGAUCUAAUGUAUUUAUUGACAGACUGGCUUGGGCUGUGGCCCAGAAUGCAAACUCUGCCUCCUGACAGCAGUGUUCCCAAUUGAUGUGCUCCUUGUGAGCAAUCUUCGAGGAACAUCCAGGGAUUCUGGGCCACAACGUCAGGCUCUUGACAAAAUGAAAGUGGAUGCUAUCUACAGAGCAACAUUGCAAAAGUGGCCUCAUGUGGUGCCCUCCAGCAUUGGUGCAGCCAUCAAUGCCAAACUUACUGAAAUUAGAGGAAAGAAGGAAGAAAGAAAAAAUCCGGAAACCUUAAUGCUCUUUGAUGACUGAUGGCCAUGACCUUGUGUGUUUACUGUUCAAGGUAUUUUGUUGUUGCUUUUUUGUUUUUUUUUCCUGAGCAAUGUUCUGUUUGAUAUCAUGUUGAAAUUCUAAAUUACUCAUGUGGAUUAUAAUUUCAUUGUCACUGAGUUGAAA